rnacentral:tRNA from 1 species
GCCUGGGUGGCUCAGUGGGUAAAGAGUCUGACUUUGGCUCAGGUCAUGAUCUCACAGUUUGUGGGUCCGAGCCCCGCGUCAGGCU